UACGGAGGGCGCAAGCGUUGUUCGGAAUUACUGGGCGUAAAGCGCGUGUAGGCGGCCAGGUAAGUCGGAUGUGAAAGCCCGGGGCCCAACCCCGGAACUGCACCAGAUACUGCCCGGCUGGAGUCCCGGAGAGGAUGGCGGAAUUUCCGGUGUAGAGGUGAAAUUCGUAGAUAUCGGAAGGAACACCAGUGGCGAAGGCGGCCGUCUGGACGAUGACUGACGCUGAGACGCGAAAGCGUGGGGAGCAAACAGG
rnacentral:rRNA from 1 species